rnacentral:rRNA from 1 species
GACGAACGCUUGCGACGUGCCUAAGAAAUGCAAGUCGAACGGGGUGGCAACACCCAGUGGCGAACGGUCGCGUAACACGUGGGCAACCUGCCCUGAAGUGGGGGAUAACAACCCGAAAGGGUUGCUAAUACCGCAUGUGUAUCGCCGCGGCAUCGCGGAGGAUACAAAGGAGCAAUUCGCUUCAGGAUGGGCCCGCGGCCUAUCAGCUUGUUGGUGGGGUAACGGCCUACCAAGGCUUCGACGGGUAGCUGGUCUGAGAGGACGGCCAGCCGGAUUG